rnacentral:rRNA from 1 species
UUCCAGACUCCUACGGGAGGCAGCAGUGAGGAAUAUUGGUCAAUGGGCUUACGCCUGAACCAGCCAAGUCGCGUGAGGGAAGACUGCCCUAUGGGUUGUAAACCUCUUUUGUCAGGGAGCAACGCCGGCUACGUGUAGCCGGACUGAGAGUACCUGAAGAAAAAGCAUCGGCUAACUCCGUGCCAGCAGCCGCGGUAAUACGUAGGGGGCAAGCGUUAUCCGGAUUUACUGGGUGUAAAGGGAGCGUAGACGGCAGCGCAGGUCUGGAGUGAAAUGCCGGGGCCCAACCCCGGAACUGCUUUGGAAACUGUGCAGCUCGAGUGCAGGAGAGGUAAGCGGAAUUCCUAGUGUAGCGGUGAAAUGCGUAGAUAUUAGGAGGAACACCAGUGGCGAAAGCGGCUUACUGGACUGUAACUGACGUUGAGGCUCGAAAGUGUGGGUAUCAAACAGGAUUAGAUACCCCCGUA